AGACUAUCUUCAUUAGAGUUUGAGAGAAGGGUAAAAGAGGAGACAUUAAUAAUGAUGUCGGAGUCCUGUCAUCAAAAAUCCGUCAAACCGAUUAAGCGACGACCAGAAGCCACAUUCAAAUACACAUUAAUGUCAGCUUAAAGUCUGAGACUGAAAUCGAGAGACGAAGACGGAAACGGAGACAGAGACGAAGGCGAAGACGAAGACCAGUCAAAAGGCAAAAGACCAGACUCGAUUUGCGAAUGCGAAUGUUCAAUGCUUAUACCUGGGCUAAGACCUGUCCCUAAAAAAAAAGUGCCAAGGAGCGAGGGAUACUCUGCUCUUUAUUGUCGUCGUCGUCUUGUUUUUAUGGAUUUAUGUGUGGGUCGCCAAUGGCCAUUAACUGCAGGUAGCCCAAACCCAAAUCUGAAACCCAUUUCAGUUUAUGGGUUUUCUCUGAGCUCUCCGUGUCCACAUGUCGAAAUGAGUCGAGUCGACUCGAUCGUGGUGCUGUGGUCUAUGCUUUUCUCACCCACAGCGGAGGGUGCAACGAUUAGUUCUGCUUCUGUUUUAAGUUUGGUGGCCUGUUGACCAAAAGUGUGAAAUUGACAAUUCCAUGCCCUGGGAAAUUAUGACAGAUUAUGCCAGCAAAACAGUUUUCCCACCUCACAGCAACAAAAAAAAAAACAA